AUGGGAUAGCCAUACCAUCCUGAAUUCGCCCAAUUUUGUCUGAUCUCGGAAGCUAAGCAGGCUCGGGUCUGGUUAGUGCUUGGAUGGGAAGGAUGGAGAGAUGGGGAAACAAAAGUUCCACAUU
rfam:Mesocricetus auratus contig166561, whole genome shotgun sequence.